rnacentral:sRNA from 1 species
CGGACGGGCCUUUCAGGCAUCCUCUCCCAAACUUCAAAAGGGCCGGCGCGAGUCGGCCCCUUUUUUUGCCUGGC